GUUUGUUUCAGGUCUGCGUGAUCAUUUUGUUGUCCUGGAUGUGAGAACAUGGCCAAAAGGUGUGUCAAUCAGCAUCCAGCCAUAAAAGCAGCCUUCUCGUUAAAAGGCUCAGGAGGACAAACAGCUGCCAGAGGAGGAUGAUGAUGGCAGUGGUGACCGAGGUGACUGUGCAGCUCAGGAUGAAGAAGAGGAGGAACAUCUUCCAGUUUGCCAAAAUCCAAAGUGAAUAUAUAGAGACCAUCCUCCUAUCCUUGCCUCAGAAGAACCUGAGAAAGACACUCUUCCUCUUCUCUCACAGCUCUCCAUUAUCUACCUCUACAACACUGUUGGAAAGAUUGUUCUACACAGCUGAGGACACGGUAAUGAGAGAUCUCAAAUCCUUCCUGAGAAAGUCCACGUUCAUUUUCUUGAACAAAAACUGUACAUGUAUUUUUGGGUGGGCCAAACUAUUAUUUGAAGAAAUGAUAAAAAAAUCUUUAUAUUGUUCUUUAUACAUAUCUUUUACUCUUUAUGAAUGUCAUCUUCUGGAUUUUUUUAGCUUUUGAGAAGCUCAAGGACUGUAUAUCUUUGGUAAUUAUGAUAUUGUCUGGCAGAAAAGCAGUAUUAAAGCACAUUACCUCAGUAUAUUUGUAGCAGCUGCCUCAUACAGGACACUUAGGAAAUGGUUUAAAAUAUAUUUUU